rnacentral:rRNA from 1 species
UAAAACCUAAAUAUUAUGGCGGCAUUUCAUCUUAUUAGAGGAGCUUGUAUUUUAAUCGACAACCCACGUUAUAUUUUACUUUAGUAAUAAAAAUUUAUAUAUCGCCGUCACAGAACUAAUUUAAAAAUAUUAUUCUUAAUAAAAAAUAAAAAAAUAGGUCAAGGUGUAAUUUAUAUUAAAGAUAAUAUGGGCUACUUUAAAAAUAUUUAAGAAUUAUUUUUCAAUAGAAAUUUAUGAAAAAGGAUUUAAAAGUAAUAUUUAAAUAAAAUUUAUAUAUG